GAAACGUUCUCAAGCAAAGGUGACACAAGCCACACCUUACUGUCAACAACUAGAAAGUUCAAGACAUCUGUUUCCUUCACAAUGCCUAUGAGCGCUAACAGUAACCGAGACUCAACAUUAACUGAACCAAACUUAAAGGAUUGGCAGUGUGCACAAUCAAGAGGCUGCUUCUUUUUAGAGGAAGAUGGUGAAGUUGUCAGUCAUCAGUACAAAAUGCACAUAGCUCAGAGAUCUGUGCUUUACCUGACAAUUAAGCCAUUGAAUCUGAGUCAAGUUGAAGGAAAACAUUCUCCCUGGUUAUCGGUUGAUACAGCCUUAUAUAUUCUUAAGAAAAAUGAGAAUCCAGCAGAGGCACAGCUCAUGUGUUUUACCGAACUACGAAACAGAGAAGUGUUUGGAUGGACUGGUGAACUAGAACCAGGAAUUUAUUGGCUAAUUCCUUCCACAACUGGAUGUAGGCUAAGAAAAGAAACAAAACCAGUAACAGAAGAAGUCCAACUUGUACAUAGAGAUGAAACAGGGGAAUUAUCUCUUACAAGUGAGUUUAGGUCAACUCUAUCAGAGAUAUUUGAAAUAAUUGAUUUAGAUGGCAAUGGUCUUAUUAGCCUUGAAGAGUACAAUUUUUUUGAGUUGAGAACAAGUGGUGAAAAGUGUGAUGAGGACGCUUGGGCUGUCUGCAGAG
rnacentral:lncRNA from 1 species